UAGGGAAUCUUCCGCAAUGGACGAAAGUCUGACGGAGCAACGCCGCGUGGGCGAAGAAGGCCUUCGGGUCGUAAAGCUCUGUUGUUAGGGAAGAACAAGUACGAGAGUAACUGCUCGUACCUUGACGGUACCUAACCAGAAAGCCACGGCUAACUACGUGCCAGCAGCCGCGGUAAUACGUAGGUGGCAAGCGUUGUCCGGAAUUAUUGGGCGUAAAGCGCGCGCAGGCGGUCCUUUAAGUCUGAUGUGAAAGCCCACGGCUCAACCGUGGAGGGUCAUUGGAAACUGGGGGACUUGAGUGCAGAAGAGGAGAGUGGAAUUCCACGUGUAGCGGUGAAAUGCGUAGAGAUGUGGAGGAACACCAGUGGCGAAGGCGACUCUCUGGUCUGUAACUGACGCUGAGGCGCGAAAGCGUGGGGAGCAAACAGGAUUAGAUACCCUGGUAGUCCACGCCGUAAACGAUGAGUGCUAAGUGUUAGAGGGUUUCCG
rnacentral:rRNA from 1 species